AUUGAACGCUGGCGGCAGGCUUAACACAUGCAAGUCGAGCGAGCGGCGGACGGGUGAGUAAUGUCUGGGAAACUGCCUGAUGGAGGGGGAUAACUACUGGAAACGGUAGCUAAUACCGCAUACCAUCAGAUGUGCCCAGAUGGGAUUAGCUAGUGGGUGGGGUAAUGGCCCACCAAGGCGACGCUCCCUAGCGGGUCUGAGAGGAUGACCAGCCACACUGGAACUGAGCCACGGUCCAGAUCCAUACGGGAGGCAGCAGUGGGGAAUAUUGCACAAGGGUCGAAAGCCUGAUGCAGUCAUGCCGCGGGUAUGAAGAAGUCCUUGGGGUUGAAAACUACUUUCAGCGGGGAGGCGUUACCCGAAGAAGAAGCACCGGCUAACUCCGUGCCAGCCGCCGCGGUAAUUC
rnacentral:rRNA from 1 species